AUAAGUUGUUGAUUUCAGAACAUAGAUGGAGCUUGAGGAAGAUCGAUUAUCAAGCCUGCCUCCAAUGAAUGAGGUGAUUGCAGAGCUUUUGGAUUCUUUCACGCUUCUUGAUAGCAUUUCGGCGAAGAUUCAGAUUCGAAAGUUGAGGUUGCUCUUUAGGGGGAUAGUUGUAUUAGUAGCUAUGGUGGUUAUUUUAUCGGUGGUCGUUGGACCAGUUUGACUAUAUGAAGGAGAUGAGUUUAGUUUUGAGGAAUUUGGAGCGGCGACUGUGUUUUUUGUUUUCGAGUGCUGAUGCAUUUAGCACUUUUCUGAUGAAUUUGGAGCGGACCAGUUUCACACUCCUCCGUUGUUUCUUAAGUUAAAUCGCGCCAUGUUUCCAGAAGGGAUGGUUCCGAGUUUGUGAUAAAAAAGCUCAUAUUCCAUACAGACAUGACAUUGUGAAUUUAAAUUUUCGUGCAGCAAAAUUCUUAAAGUGUCGAUGAUGUUACAUCCAGUGUUCUGGUAUGUGUCCGCCUGUUCUGAUGUUUAACUUCUUUUUAUAAUGAUUUUUAUAUGUAACUAAUUUAUGUUUAAUGCGUUUUUCACUUUUCAGAUGAUGUCAUAGAAUCGGUUGUUUGAAUCGUUUCUUUCAAAAGAUACGACGGUGUUUUACAUGACUGCUGAUUCCGGUUGUUUGUGGAGGUGUACCUGUAUUCAGUGUGUAUGUUAUGUUUCAGGCCAUAUACACUUCAUAGAAAAAUCAGAUGGCAUUGCAAAAACGCUGAUAAUGUUUUAUUCUGGUAGAUAGUUCGGUAUCUUGAAAGGAAUAUUGAUUAUAGGGUAACAGGGAAUUAAGGCAGCUGCUUUGAUAAGAAUGUUGUUUCAGGACCCACCCUUGAGUUAAUUUGCAAUUCCAGGUCUAUUGGCGCAACAUUGUUAAUGCAAAGUAUUCUACAUAAUGCAAAAGGGCACAUGUUUAGCGUAUUGAGUUAUUGUAUUUUCUAAAUAUACUUUAUUUAAGAGGUGUGUAUCCAAUACCGUUGCGUUGUGAGUAUUCUUUUAUAAAAGUCGAUAUUAACUUAAUCAUGUUUGGUUAUCAUAUCACUCUACGGUGGUUUAUAGUUCAUCAAGUUACGUGUUUUACUAUUUAUGACCCGUGCGGCAGCACGGGUAGACAAUCUAGUCUAACUUAUUUCUAAUCCUAGGUAACACUCCAAUUACCACUUAAAACCCUAAUUCUAAGAUUUUUAGGCGCCAAUCAAUCCAGACCGUUAGAUCAUUGUAAGUAGGGGAGGUUAGCACAUCAACCAUUGAUCAAAUCUCACUCUUGAAAAUUGUAACACGCGCAAUCACACCUCUCCAUUAUUGUUCAAUACCGAUGCAAACUCUACAGUGCCCCAUGCUUCCCUCUUCUUCUCCCUCUGUCACUUUUGAUUAUACAUCAUCAAAUGAGAAAUAUCCAACCAUGGCUCUGACCUAACCCUCCUCUCUCUCCAUCUCUCUACGAUUCCCCAUCUCCACCCCCUUUCUCUUGCACCCAUUCUCCCCAUCGCCACCGUCCAGUCCCGCCACCCUGUAAAUCGUGAUUCUUCCACUUCUUCCUCUCGGGUUAUGCUUCUACAUCUAUAUCCAUAUCCAAAUUCGCCCAAAUACGCCCAUCCGUGUUCAGUAAAACGAAGAACACGGUUGAAUGAUUAUUCAAUACAAGUGCAUCCAGGUAAUUGUAUUAGCAAGAUUGAAUUUAUUAUUGACGGUGUAUCUCAAUCCGAUUUCGAAGCUUCUGUCAUCGGUAAGACCAUGGUCGCUUCUCACAAGAAGUCAAAGAACAUGUAGCGUCACGUUAUCCUCCAUUUCCUGUCAAUUUGGUACUCACGAGAAGUUAUGUUCUGCUGCCUUGGUUUAGUGUCCUUGUCAAAUACAAGCUUCGGUUUGAAUAAAAGUUAUUCCUCAGUUUAUAUACCCCUUUGAUGCUCAGAUUUCCAAAAUUGUUCUAUUUGCUCUCAGUGUGUUCCAAUUCUCAGUCAAUUCACAUGAAAACUGCUCGGAUGGAUUAUGAUGUUGUUGAGAAUACUUGCAAGGCUUUGCACAGUUUAUCCGGUUUCUUUUGGUUGCUGCUUGGUGUUGAGUGUAAAAGAGAAGAAAUUAUUGAAGAGCAGUUGAAUCUGAAUCAGGUUUAUUAAAUGACUAUCUUCAACCUCAAAUUUUUAAAAUAAGGUUUUGCUUCAGGGGGGCUGGUUGUGUUGUAUGCUGCUGGAGUCCUUGCUGUUUUGGUUAUGGAACGGAAGGUGUAGCAGGUUCUGCUGCCUGCUGUUUUUUGGUGGAGUGUGCAGCUAUUCUGCAAGUUUUGGUUGGGGUUUUCUGUUGGUUAAGGAUUUUUGUUUUCAAUACCCUCUCUUAUGUGUGCCUUACUAAUUAAUUUUGCCAUCUCAAAUGACACUAUUGCAAGCUCUCUAUUGUUGUUAUAAAUUGAAGAAUGAGAUGGUUUCGGUAGAGAUUCCAUUGUCAUUACAUAUUGAAGAAUUGAAUGAGAGUAUUUGGCAUAAGAAAAUAAA